UACGUAGGGGGCAAGCGUUGUUCGGAAUUACUGGGCGUAAAGGGCUCGUAGGCGGCCAACUAAGUCGGACGUGAAAUCCCUCAGCUUAACUGGGGAACUGCGUCCGAUACUGGAUGGCUUGGAUUUGGGAGAGGGAUGCGGAAUUCCAGGUGUAGCGGUGAAAUGCGUAGAUAUCUGGAGGAACACCGGUGGCGAAGGCGGCAUCCUGGACCAAUAUUGACGCUGAGGAGCGAAAGCGUGGGGAGCAAACAGG
rnacentral:rRNA from 1 species